rnacentral:lncRNA from 1 species
UCGAGUUCAAAUAUUUAACAAAAUACCAAAAGAAGUUGAUAGUGUGAUGGACUGUGCUGAUGAUCCCCGAGCUCGUAACGCGUCUCCAAAUCUAUAAAAACGAAUGAACGAAAGCAAACGAAGUAAGCUUUUAUAGCUUAGUAAGUCUCCAGCAUAACUAAAUGUAUAAUUAUAAACACAUAAUUAUUAUAACCUUUUUAAUCUAUUCUACUGAAAUUUUAACUAACACAACCAACUAACAUUCAUACAUUAUUCUACUCAGACCAUUUCAUUUAUAGUCAGAUAUGUAUACCUGUCGGAUGAAUUCAGUUUAAUAUAUAUAUUAUACAAAACAACAUUACAAUUGAAUGUAUACCACCGAGCAUAUAUAUACAUAUUAUAUACAUAUCAAACCGAUUGUAUAUGUACACUCAUGGUAAGUUCUAAAUCAAUUCAAAUCUAACACAAAUAUAUAUACAUCAAUCACAUCUUAUAUUUGUUUGUAUAUAAAUAUACUCAUUAUGAAUUUAUACCUGAAUACCUAGGUAACACAUACAUUCGAAAUAUACACAUAUAUAUAUCUCAAAUGCAUACAUGAUUAAUUAUCAAACACAUAGGCUCAACAUAUAUAUGUUUAACUACCACAUAUCACCAUAUGCAUUUAUAAAUUCAGCAAUCACAUAUAUCUAAUGUACAUAUGUAUUCAUCGAUUUCAUAAAAUCACAAAUCAUAGAUAUAUCCAUUGCAUAUUCUAACACAAUUUAAACAGAUUCACCGGCAUUUUGCCUGCUAGGCUUAAAGCCUGAUUCAGUACACCGGCACUUAGCCUGCUAGACAUAUAGUCUGAAAUGUAUCACCGGCAUUAAGCCUGCUAGACAUAUAGUCUGAAAUGUAUCACCGGCAUUAAGCCUGCUAGACUUAAAGUCUGAAAUGUAUCACCGGCAUUAAGCCUGCUAGACUUAAAGUCUGAAUUACUUCAUCGGCAUUAAGCCUGCUAGACGUAACGUCUGUAUUACAUUCAAUCACUUUAUAAUAAUUCAAACUAACAAUUUCAUAUCUUCACUACCAUUCAAAAACUUUUACGUGAAUAUACAUACAAAAUCGAAACUUUCACAUACAUAUAUAAUUCCAUACCAAAUUUCGAUUCAAGAAUUUAUACAUGUGCAUUUAUACAUAUUCGAAUCUACCAUAUGAAUGUAUAAUUUCAUACUCAAUUUCAAAACAAAAACUUGUACAUAUAUAAAUGCACAAUCAAUCCUCGCAUACUUAUAUAAUGACAUAACUAAAUUCAAUACACAACACAUACAUGUAUACUUGCAUGCUUAUUCGACUUUAUAUAUAUAUACAUACUUAUAUAAUCAUUCAAACCAUAUAUAUAUAUAUAUACCUAUAUCUUAUACAUACCUUUGAUUAAUCCAAUAAUUUAUACAAGAUCAUACUUGUAUAUUCGAACAUGUUAUAUACAAUAUCUAUAGUCCAAAGUUUAUUCAACUAUUAUACUUUAAAUUAUAGCUCAAUCAUAAGAUAAAAUUAGUAUGCAUGUAUAAAUAUUAACUUAAUAACUUUUAGUUGCUAAUAGACUUACCUCGGAUAUCAGCAAACACGAUCGACUAUUCGAUUUCCUUCGACUUCCCCCGAUCCAAAUUCGUUUUCUUCGUUCCUUGAUCUUAAUUUUGCUAUGAAAGUGCCGAAACUUAAGAAACCAUGGAUGGUUUCUUCCUUUCCAAUAUUCG